rnacentral:rRNA from 1 species
UACGGAGGGGGCUAGCGUUGUUCGGAAUUACUGGGCGUAAAGCGCACGUAGGCGGACUGUUAAGUCGGGGGUGAAAUCCUGGGGCUCAACCUCAGAAUUGCCUCCGAUACUGGCAGUCUCGAGUGCGGGAGAGGUGAGUGGAAUUCCCAGUGUAGAGGUGAAAUUCGUAGAUAUCUGGAGGAACACCGGUGGCGAAGGCGGCAUCCUGGACCGGCAUUGACGCUGAGGCGCGAAAGCUAGGGGAGCAAACAGG